UAAACCGCAACCGGAUCUUAAAGG
rnacentral:siRNA from 1 species